rnacentral:lncRNA from 1 species
AUGCCGCUGACUGGUGUAGAGCCCGCCAGAAUGAACAGGAAGAAAGGAGACAAGGGCUUUGAAAGCCCAAGGCCAUAUAAAUUAACCCAUCAGGUCGUCUGCAUCAACAACAUAAAUUUCCAGAGAAAAUCUGUUGUGGGAUUUGUGGAACUGACUAUAUUUCCCACAGUUGCAAACUUGAAUAGAAUCAAGUUGAACAGUAAACAGUGUAGAAUAUACCGAGUAAGGAUCAAUGAUUUAGAGGCUGCUUUUAUUUAUAAUGACCCAACCUUGGAAGUUUGUCACAGUGAAUCAAAACAAGAGGAGAUACACAAAUGGGAUUGGAAAAAUUCAGGGAAUCCCUGAUUUACUCCUGUAACUUUCCAUUUCACAAAGGUGAGUUGUUGAAAUUACAUUGCUUUUAAAGCCACAUUUGUAGAACUGACAUA